UAUUCAAAAUAUUUUAGAAAAGGCCAGCAACUAAAGUCUCUGGAAAAUCAAUGCUUGUUCAAUUUGAAGAUAGUCUUUCCUGUUGGAAAACAGUGCGAUGGCUUGAUAAAUUAGUAAAGAAAGGUGAAGUACGGAAUUUGAAAGCCAAAGACGACCACAUUUUUUGGAGAAAUAUUAAGCAGAAAGUGAAACUCCGAAGGUAGGUUAUA